UAUUCAGCUCCGCAGGCAUCUGUGGAGUUGGAAAGGAUUCUGGCGAGGGAUGGGCCCGCGGCCUAUCAGCUUGUUGGUGGGGUAAUGGCCUACCAAGGCGACGACGGGUAACCGGCCUGAGAGGGCGACCGGUCACACUGGGACUGAGACACGGCCCAGACUCCUACGGGAGGCAGCAGUGGGGAAUAUUGCGCAAUGGGCGAAAGCCUGACGCAGCAACGCCGCGUGAGGGAUGAAGUACGUCGAGAUGUAAACCUCUUUCAGCAGGGACGAAGCGAAAGUGACGGUACCUGCAGAAGAAGCGCCGGCUAACUACGUGCCAGCAGCCGCGGUAAUACGUAGGGCGCAAGCGUUGUCCGGAUUUAUUGGGCGUAAAGGGCUCGUAGGCGGUCUGUCACGUCGGAUGUGAAAACUCAGUGCUUAACACUGGGCCUGCAUUCGAUACGGGCAGACUAGAGUUCGGUAGGGGAGACUGGAACUCCUGGUGUAGCGGUGGAAUG
rnacentral:rRNA from 1 species